ensembl:lncRNA
AAUAUGGAAAUCAAAAUGGUUCUGUUUAUUGUAAAAAUGAUAAUAGCUGUUAUGGUGGGAAUGUCACUUUUAAUAAUAAUCAUGGUAUUUUUGCUAAAAAUUAUCCUACUACUACGAGCAAUAUUGCUGCUACUCUCGUGUGUAAUAAUAAUUAUAAUUAUAAUAAUAAUAAUAAUAAUAACCCUUAUAAAGACAGCUAUAAAGACAGGAAAACAUAUUCGGACCAAAAUUGUAAUUAUCCAAUAAACGAAAACACAAUGCGUGAAGAUUAUACACUAUGUGAACAUACGAAAAAGAAUUUACAUGGUUAUAAAAAUAGUAAUAGUUACAUCAACAAUAACAAAAGCAAACUGUCAAUUAACGAUUUUUGUUUUUCUGAUGAUGUAAAUGAAAACAUUACGAAUUUUUUAAUGUAUUAUCAAAAUAAGGAAAAUCAAAAGAACAAAGAAAAACAAAAACAAAAAAAAAACAAUUACAAAACAAAAAAAAAUUCCUAUCUUGAUAUGUCAACUCGUUAUAAUAAAAUUAAUUAUAUUAAUGAUAGUUUAUUUAAAUAUACUCAAAAAAAGCAUAAAAAAUAUACACCACGCUUUAUCUAUUGUAAUAAUAUUCACAACAAUGGUAGCUUUUGUAGUGGCAUAAACAAUUCUUGUCGUCCCCGGCACAGUAGUAUUGGUAUUGACAAUGCCAUUGGUACUAGUUUCGAUAGCAUUAGCGGAAGUAGUAGCGGUGGAAGUAGUAACAAUGACUACUACGCUUAUAAUCAUAAAAAAAGCAAAAAAAUAGAUAAAUGCUUAUUAGGUAUAAAUUACAUGGAUGAAAAAAUAUUUUCGGUCAAUAAAAAAAAAAAAAAAAAAUUUUUAAAUGAAUGGUAUAAUAUACUUAAUCAUAUUUAUUUUAAGGAAGGAAAUCAUGAACUUUUGUAUGACAAUCCUGAAAUGUCAUAUGGUAAUAAUGCACAAAACAAUGAUAUUGUGUAUACACAUACUGGCUCGAAUCUGAACAUGGGUGUGAAUACAUAUUACAACGGAAAUUACGAUUAUGGUCAAAGUUUUGGUCAAAGUUAUGGACAAAGUUAUGGACAAAGUUAUGGACAAAGUUAUGGNNNNNNNNNNUUAUGGACAAAGUUAUGGACAAAAUUAUGGACAAAAUUAUGGACAAAAUUAUGGACAAAGUUAUGGACAAAGUUAUGGACAAAAUUACGAUGAGAACAACAAAAUGUCGUAUAAGCACUAUAACAAAUACUUUGAAGACGACUCAAAGAGCAAACUAUAUAUGAAUAAACACCACAUUAAUCAUAAUAACAAUAUAUAUAACCGAUUCAAUAUGAAAACAGAUAAUCAAAACGAAACGAUACAUGGUAAUAAAAUUCAACUUGAAACAACAAAUGAUUACUUAAUAAAUUUUAUAUAUGAUAAAAUGAAAAAAAUAAAUAAAAGUAUCAGCAAAAAUGGGGAGGAGAGUAUUGGAAGUGGACAAAUGAAUGAACAGGCGAUGGAGCGUGCGAUUCAAAUUGCUAUGAGUCGUUUAGAAAACGAGUCAGGUCAUAAUGAUUUGCAUAAUGACUCAUGCAGCUACAGAAAUGAUUAUCCUAACAAUUGGAAUGAUGAACAUAUAUUUAAAAAACUGUCCCACCAAAAUACCAACUUAAAUUUAAGAGACUACACAUAUAAAGAAAACAAAAAAAAAAAAAAAAAAAAUAUUGACAAUCAUAAUGAGUGCAACGAUAUACAUCAUUCAUUUAAUAUAAAUAAAAAUAGCUCAAAUAGCAUUCAUGGGUAUUUACAAUAUUUGCAUAAUAAAAAAGAGUUAGAACAACAAAAGGGGUUAGCGCAAAACGGGUAUAUACCAAAAGAAUGUUACUAUAAUAAUAGAAUAAAUACACGUGAAAAUGAUGAAUAUAAUAAUUAUUUGCAUGGCGAAAGUGGCGUACAACUAAAAUCAGAUUAUAUUACAAAUGAUAAAAAAUUUUAUAAAAAUUAUGAUAAAAAUUAUGAUAAAAAUUAUGAUAAAAAUUAUGAUAAAAACAAAAAAAAAAAAAAAAUGAACAGAACAACUUCUACAAGUACAAACAGCAAUCGAGGAGUUACAAAUAAUAACAAGAGUGAAAGUAACGUUAUUAACGCUUUUCAUAUAUUUGUUUCUAACUAUUUUAACGAAAUAGGUUACAAAAAACAACCAAAGUGGUUACAGAACAAGCAUUUUCAAAAAAAUUUAACUCAAAACGACAAACAGUUACAACAAGAACUAUUAAACCAUCUUAAUGAAAACGAAUACACUUUAUUAGCUUCGAAUAAGACAAACACAUGUAAAAUGUUAAAAUGUAAGAAACAUAAUCAUGCUGGUAUGCAACUUAACAAAUUACAUAAUAAUUAUAAUUAUGAAAAAUCAUCAUAUGAUGUGUGCAUAAAGUCAAAAAACGAAAAGGAACAACAUAAUAAACAAAAAAUAGCUACAUCUAAGAAAAAUAAUAAUAACAAAACAGAUAUGAUGAUAAAUGACAAUGAUCAAAACAGUGUAUGUAUUAGUGAGUGCAAAAACGCAUGUGGCUACUGUAAAAACACGUGUGGCAAUUUUAACAGCAAUUUUAAUAACUUAAACAAGACCUAUAACAAUUGCAACAACACUUAUAAUAUUUAUAACUAUACCAAUGAUAAACAUAUAGUAAAUCAAAAUACUUUUCAUAAUUAUAAAGAUUCAUAUGUUGAUGACUCCCACAACACUUGUAAAAAUAAUGUUACUACCACCACUAUGAAUACGACUAACAUAAGCAAUGGUAAUAGUAGCAGUAGUAAUAAUAAUAAUAAUAAUAAUAAUAAUAAUGAUAAUAGUAGCAGUAGUAAUAAUAAUAAUAAUGACAAUAGUAGCAGUAGUAAUAAUAAUAAUAAUGACAACAUUAACAAUAGUAACAAUAAUAAUAAUGACAACAUUAACAAUAGUAACAAUAAUAAUAAUGACAACAUUAACAAUAGUAACAAUAAUAAUAAUGACAACAUUAACAAUAGUAACAAUAGUAACAAUAGACGUAGAAGUAGAAAUAAUAACCUUUUUUUAAAUGAAGCUGCUUUUAUUAAAAAUCAAGUAAUAUCUGCUGAAAAAACAAACAAACGUAUAAAAAAAAACAUAAAUAGACAAAUACAUACCCAGACACAUCAAAUAAUAAAGGAUGACAAUGUCGAUGAUUCUAAUUCUUGUAUAAUAGGACGUUUAAGUAUGAAUGACUCGAAAGGGGUUCAAAAAGUAAAUGAAGAAAAAACACAUUAUAAUAAUAAGAAUGAAACUGUUUAUGCUGAUAGUAUUAUACCUAGUGUCAAUUUUAGUGUUAACUACAGUAAAACCAAUAAUGAAAACCAAUAUAAACAUGAUAUAAAUGAUAAUGAAUCAUAUACAAAUACACAAUUAUACAAACUGGAUUUGACAACGAUGAAAACGGUUAACGAUUGUGACUUCUCAAACAAUUCACGUAAAACAUACUCAGCUUGUGACAAUGUACAUAUUGGUAUUACCAAUAGAAACGCUAGUGGUAGUUACGAAAACAGUGGCAUUGCAAAUGGAGUCACACAUGGAGUCACAAAUGGAGUCACAAAUGGAGUCACAAAUGGAGUCACAAAUGGAGUCACAAAUGGAGUCACAAAUGGAGUCACAAAUGGAGUCACAAAUGGAAUCACAAAUGGAGUCACAAAUGGAGUCACAAAUACAAACGAAAUGAGAAAUAGAAAAAAAAGAAACUAUCAAAACAUAAACCGUUUUACUAGUACUACCAAUAAGGCAAUAGAUAGCAAAAUAGAUGAUGACACAAUUAUAGAGCACAUAAAUGAAAGUAGUAAUGGUCAUUAUUGUGUGCCUAACAAAGUAGUAACUAAUUUAUAUGACAUGGUAAUAUAUAACAAAAACUGUAGCGAUAAUUAUUACAACAAUAGUAACAAUAAUUGUAGUCGUAAAGAAAUAAAAAAAAAUACUACUACACAAUUUUUAACAAAUGAUAACGAUUGUAAUAAUAAUACUAUUCUUGAUUCAUCUGUUGUUAAUAAAAGUGGUUUGACUCUUUUGGAUAUGCAUAAAAAAGAGUUAGCCUUGAUGAAGUUAAAAAGAGAAUUGACAAAUAACAACAUAAACGGGAUAACAGAAGAUUGUAUACAAUAUAAAAAUAAUAACAUAAUAAACACUCAUCAUGAUAGUAAUAGUAAUAACAUUUUAAAAGACCAGUACUGUUAUAGUAAUAAAGAAUGCGAAGACAAUCUUAACAAAAUAAAAGAACAACAGCAAGAAACACCACCACAACAACAACAACAACAACAACAACAACAACAACAAGAACAACAACAAGAACAACAACAACAAGAACAACAGCAAGAACCACAACAACUACUAUAUGCUAAUGGAGUUGGAUUAAAAAAUAACAUUGAAAACAGUAACAAAAAUAACAACAUAUUAAAAGAAAAAAAAAUAAAUAAAGAAUUAAAAAAAAAUAACGAAUUAAAUCAAAUAUUUAAAAAAUUAAAUUUUCAAGAAAAGGAACUAAUCUUAUCUGUACUUACAAAUAUCAAAAAUGAGAAUAAUGAUAAAACAAAUUUAGAUUACCAAGUGAAUACAGAGUUAAAUCAAAAUUUAAACCAUAGUACAAGUUAUAACGAUUGUCAAAGUGUGUAUGAUGACGACUCAAAUCAUGUAAAAAUAGAGAGUAACAAAGGUAGUAACAAAGGUAGUAAUAAAAAUAGUGACAAAGGUAGUGACAAAGAUAGUGACAAAGAUAGUGACAAAGGAAUUGAAAAAGACAGUAACAAAGACAGUAACAAAGACAGUAACAAAGACAGUAACAAAGACAGUAACAAAGACAGUAACAAAGACGGCAACAAAGACGGCAACAAAGACGGCAACAAAGACGGCAACAAAGACAGUGACAAAAGAAGCAAAAAAAGAAGUAACAAAAAGUGCAGUAACCACUAUUUUACACGAGAAGCAAAGAGUCAAUACGAAACAAAUUACUAUCAAUCAUGCGUAUAUAAAAAACAAAAAAAAAAUGAUAACUUCGACAUAUAUCAUACUAAUAACCUACCUAAUGGACAUAAUUGGUUUGAGCAUAAAGCAAAAAAUGUAAGUGACGUUGGUAAUCCCAUUAGUACUAAUGUUGCCAUGUAUAAACAAACGAAUUUAGAAACUAAUAACAAACAGCAACAAAAAACGAGUUCAACAAUACCUUUAGAUUUAAAAUAUAACUUAAGAAAAAGUUAUAGAAAGACUAAAGAUAUGUCACUAGAUACUACUACAACUACAGCUGCUAAUGAUAUUGCCACUACUACAACUGUCAAUUAUAAUAAACAACAUGAACAACAAAUUAAUUAUGACGACAAAAACUUUGCUCACGAUCAAUAUAACAUACCACAAGAAAACAACCAUGCCUUACCUGAUGAUGGUGUACAUACAAGAAGAAGCACAAAUCCAAGCAACUGUUGUGAUUUAAUAUCACACACACGUACAAAUAGUAACAGUUUCAAUGAUACUAGUGAUUAUAACACCACAAAUUAUAAUUAUACAAAAAAGCAAAGAAACAAAAAACAAAAAACAAGAAAAAAAAAACGUCAAUAGUAGUAAACACUAAUGACAUUACUAUCAUAUACAAUAAAAAGGAAAGAAAUAAACCGGCA